rnacentral:lncRNA from 1 species
GUCUUUUUUACUCCAUAGACCAAUUGAGCAAGGGUUUUCUUGGCAAAGAUACUGGAGUGGCUUACCAUUUCCUUCUUGAGUUUUAUGGAGGCAGGAAUUAAGUGAUUUGUCUAGGGUAGCACAAAUGCAAAAUGUCCAAGGUCACAUUUGAAAUCCAGUCUUUUUUACUCUAGAUCCAGUACUCUAUCUGCUAUGCCACUGAACUGCUUCCAACCUUUUCAAAUAUCAAAUUUUCCUGAAUAUGGAACUUAUACAGUUCUUAGAUGCCAUCCAGUUCAGCCCUGUCACUUACAGAGAAGAAAACUGAGACUUACUAAAGUUAAGAAACUUGCCCAACAUCAAACAGGUUGCCUUGGAUUUCAUUAGCCUGUCCACAUGCCCUUGCUGCUAAUUUUGCAAAAACAAAGAGCAACCCUUGCAUUCUUCUGCUCAUUGUGGCAUUAUUUCUCUUUGUGUGAGCAUCACUACAGCAUCUAGCCAAACAAUUGCUUCUAGGAUCUGGGUGGGUGCUCAGUGAAAGAGCUCAAAGCCCAUGUCAUCAUCAGAUUCUUCUGAUAGAAAAAGGUGCACCUCCCUCCAACCCCAGGAAGCCAGCUUACUGCUCACUAGCAGAUCAUGGUCCUCAAUGCUUUUACUGCUGAACUUGUGGAUGACCUUGAGAUGCUCCUCAUCUACCUCGAUUCCAAGGCUCUGUCUAGGAUCUUCUUCAGGUCCUUGGCUUUGGGGAAGUCAUUGCUGCCAAGGACAGCCAAAAGUUUCAGAUUUCAUGGAUUGUUUUCAGAAGGAUUAUUGAAGAAAAAUGAGGUGUCACACACAUACAGAGAAAAUAUAUGGCAUCUCUGGGUUCAAGGUCAGAAAUUCCAGACAAAUCAUCUACUCAUCUCUGUGGUGACUGUACAGGUUCCAAAUAAGUAGCAAAGGAGUUGCCAGACAUGCUGAGGGCUUGAAAAUCCAUAGGAUUUGGAAUCCAACUAAUUGUUUGAUCACUGCUGUUAAGGUUGGGUAAGACAUACUCAUUUACUGAUUAUUUACAGUGGAGGAAAAAAUAGUGUGAGGAAAGCAGAGGAAAGGGGAAUGAUAGAGAGGAGAUGAGCUGUUAGGGAUCCAUUGCUGUCAUUCCUUUUAAAAAACUAUGGGCCUCAGAACUUGGCUUCAUGGGUACCAAAUAUGUCUAGGAUUUAAUUGUGUUGCCUAGGACAGACUAUAAAAAUACUGUGAUUACAACUUCAAGAAAACAUUACCACUAGGAUCCUUGGGACAAAAAGAAGUGCCUUUCAGGGACCUACAUAUCCAAAGAGUUGAAAUAUACUGAGGAUAUCUAAAACCAAAGUCACACUGCCCUUUCCCUAUCCUCUUACCUCAGUACUAAUUCCCAGUCCUUAUUCAUAUAUUAUCACCCAUACCUGACAACAUUAAAAGGUAGCUAGGUGGUACAGUUGCUAAAGAGUUGGGUGUGAAGUCAGGAAAAUAUGAGUUUGGAAUCUGUCUCUCAUGAUUUGACUUCUAGCUUUCUAAGCCUCAGUUUCCCCAUCUAUAAAUGGAAAUAAUAAUAGUACUGGGUUCACACAGUUGUGAGAAUUAAAUGAAAUAAUACCUGAAAGAUACUUUGCAAACCUAAAUUACAUUACCUUAAAUUACCUAAAUUACCUUAAAACACUUGCUAUUAUAAAUAAUACACAUUCAUUUACAUAAUCCCUAUGUUCUAACAUAAUUUUCUCUAUUCAUAUGUUCUAUGAUUAACUUACCUAUAUAAUAUAUCUGUUGUUACAACAACUCCAGCAAAACCUUUUGGGUGUCCAACAUGACAGAUUUUACCAUGACUAUAUAGCAAAUAAG